AAUGCCACGUGCAUUGUUCUAUUUGUCUCACAGUAUAGGUGCUGCACCACGUAGCUAAAUGUUGAAGAUGUUCCAUGAUAGCAUAUACAAGAACCUAUUUACAAGAGCCUAUCCGAACUUCUAUCCGAAAUAGACAACGUGGAAUACCUUCAGCAUUUAUCCGCUAUGGGCAGCACUGGUCUAGAAACAACCGAAAGCAUAAACAUGAGCACUUUCAUUUCCUUGAUAAUAAUAAAGGUGUGAAAUAUAUCAUGAAGAAAUAGGACAAAUGAUAUUUAGUUUUAUAUGAGAAGGAUCAUGAAGUACGAUGUCUCCGGAUAUUUUAAGAGUAUCGAUGAUAGUUGGUUGUAAUCUAUGUUUGAAUUCACCAAUCAUUUUUUCGCCUAACCAUAUUGUAUAUGCUUCGAUUUCGCACCGAAUUCUAUAAAAGGAAAAUCAUAAAAAAUUGCAGUCAGAAAGUCAACAAGUUACUCGAAUUUUUAAAAAAUGGAAAAACCUACGUUAGAAGAAAAUCACGACCAGGCAUCCAGGAUAGAUGACCUGAGUGCCUUUCUUCGCGUCCCCAAGAUCCAUUUGACCAACAGUUCAUAACGACAUAGGGUGCGCUACUGCCAUAUAAAAAACGUGGAUUUAAAUGCAAUGCAAUUGUCGGAUGUGGAUAAACUGCUUUUCCCUUUUGUAAAUUUACAUAAAAUCUGUUAGCAAAUAUAGAAACAAAUUAUUCUUUA